AAGCUUGCACUAUUUUAAUUUGUCAACUGGGCCGUUCAUGUUAAUAUUCUGAUGUGGGAUUGGAGAAGGGGGCAUUUGGCGAGAAGAGGACCCCUCCCAGCCGGAGGGAAGAAAGAGCUUGCAGGGAGCAAAGAAAGAAAAUCCCGGAAAGGGAAACCUUUAAAUCAUGGUCAAAUCACACAAAUGUAAAAAAAUUUUUUUUGCCAUUGGACACGUUCCUCCAGAUCAAUGCUACGACUGCCUUCUGAAUUUAAAGCUGAUUUUUUUUCGCCCCAUUCCUUCUUUUGGAAGGAGAGUGGGGGGGUCAAAGCCCGAGUAUUUAAUAUUUAAUGUGAAAGAUUAUUAUUACUCAAACUGGAAGUUACCCAAAGUUUCUUCUUUUCCCCCUUGUGUUUAGUUUUCUCUUUUUCUUUUCCAAACGAAAUUCGAAAGAGCAUUUUAGUAUUUGUCUGUUGCACAAGGCGGGAAGUUCGAAACAAAAGGGAUUGUGGCAAAGAAAUGUCUCGAUACCUUUGCUUUUUUUUUUUUUUCCUUCUGGAAGAUUGUGUAUAACUGUACAAAUCCCAAAUGAACUUUUUUCCCCCUCCCCAUGACGAAACCAGAAACUGUAAUAUAUAUUUUGAUUAUUCAUAUUAAAAAAAGGAAAAAAAAAAA